GGCCAAGAUGCUGUGUGUUCUGGAAGAGAGAGGAUGCUGAGCCCUAAGCCAAUAGGCUGUGCUGGGGGAAUGCAGCCAGUCUCUGUCCCACUGUCUGCCUGCAGGUGGCAGGGGCCCACAGCUGAGCCAGGUCUGUGUGCAUACCCUCCUGCCCCACCUUGUGGUUCCCUGGGGUCUUGGGAUGUGGUGGGUGUUAGGGAAGCUCCCAUGGACAGAAAGGGCAUUCCCACACAGGCCCUCUGGUAUAUCCACUGGUACCUGUCUGCCUGUUCUAUUUCACUCAUGAUGACCCCUGUGCAAACUUCCUCUUGUGGGUGGAGGUGAGGUGAGCACUCCAGUUCCCUCAAGUCUGUGAGCCCAACACCUCAACCCUAUCUGUGGUCCCAAGCCUUUGUACUAGAACUUAGGGGGCCCCAGAACCUUCCCUGGCAUGAAAAUGGGGAGGGCUGUGGCCUCUUUUGUGGUGGCUGGGGGUACUGUGGUCUGAUGGAGUAGGUUGCUGUACAGAAUAUGAUUUGGUCUGUAUCCCCCAUUUCCAUAUCAAGGUGAUUUAUCAAACACCUUUUUGGUGCCCAGUUGAGCUGCAAAAGAGAGAAUACAGGAUCUUGACACAUUUGCCCUCUGGGAAAGCAACAUUCAUUCAUUCCCCUGACAGGUUUUUGCUAAAGGAGGGGAAAGCAGUGAGAAAUUUACAGAACACCAGUAACAAAGGCUUCAUAAAGAUGGGUCUUCUGUGGGCACAGGACUUAAUUUAGCAAACUCAAGAGCCUCAUGGUCCUGUUUCCCUCUUUAGAGAUGGGGAAACUGAGGUAGAGCUCCUAAC
rnacentral:lncRNA from 1 species